UGCAGUCGAACGGAGAAUUUAUUUCGGUAAAUUCUUAGUGGCGAACGGGUGAGUAACGCGUAGGCAACCUGCCCUUUGGAUGGGGACAACAUUCCGAAAGGAGUGCUAAUACCGAAUGUGAUCCAUUUCUCGCAUGAGAGAUGGAUGAAAGAUGGCCUCUAUUUAUAAGCUAUCGCCAAAGGAUGGGCCUGCGUCUGAUUAGUUAGUUGGUGGGGUAACGGCUCACCAAGACGAUGAUCAGUAGCCGGUCUGAGAGGAUGAACGGCCACAUUGGGACUGAGACACGGCCCAAACUCCUACGGGAGGCAGCAGUGGGGAAUCUUCCGCAAUGGACGAAAGUCUGAUGGAGCAACGCCGCGUGAGUGAAGAAGGGUUUCGGCUCGUAAAGCUCUGUUGUCGGGGACGAACGUGAGAUACUUGAAUAAAGUGUCUCAAUGACGGUACCUGACGAGGAAGCCACGGCUAACUACGUGCCAGCAGCCGCGGUAAUACGUAGGUGGCAAGCGUUGUCCGGAAUUAUUGGGCGUAAAGGGAGCGCAGGCGGGAAGGUAAGUCGGUCUUAAAAGUGCGGGGCUCAACCCCGUGAUGGGAUCGAAACUAUCUUUCUUGAGUG
rnacentral:rRNA from 1 species